CCGCACAUUGAUUAUUUAUUCUACUUGUUUGUUUGUAUUAACAUUUUUACCCAACUUUAAUUUGAUCAUUUAGAUUACGGUGGGAAAAUAAAUAAAAUUAGAGGCUAAUUAAAGGUCAAUCGGUUUAGGCCUUUUCCUAAUGAAUCUUCUGGAUUAUCUUAAGUAUCGAUAAUGGAUUAGAUAUGAUCCAUUGAAAGUCAAAGGCUGAGACUUUCAGUUUGUAAUUAACAUUUUCUCCCUCAAAUGUAACAAAAUUUAGCUUCUCAAUUUCAACUAAUGAAUAAUUGUCUAUUAUCUUAUCAUUUUCCCUUGGGAAAUCAAAAUUUUUGAUUGUUAAGAUGAAAGCUGAAUCUAAAUUGGAUAAUUGUUCAUUGAAUCAUCAAAGAUCUAAAAUUCAAUGAUGAUUGCAGUGAUGUAAACGAUGUUCCGAAAAUUGUCUAACUUUGAGUUACUGGCUCAAAGCUAUCGACAUUGCCUAUUACUCCGUUACAUGUGAUACAUGUGUGUGAAUCGACGUUGACCUAGUUUUGCAUGGUGUCGGUUCGAGUUCACCAUUGAAGUUCAUCUGCUUAUUUAAAAUGACUCAUUCCUGUGGUUGGUUCAUCCGAAUAAUGGAUUAUAUUGUCAUCCAGUUUCUCUAAUUUUUACCUUCACCUUCAAUCGUAAAGUGGUUAUUAUUAUAAAACAGUGAUACAACCAUUUGAUGGUGACAAAACAUCAGCUGUUAAAUCGGAACACUAAUACAAAUAUUAAAGUUGAAAGUGAUGGAUUAAGGUAGACUGAAUUGGACAUAUCAAAGGAUACUCAAUCAUAAUCAUAAUAAUGAUCAUCAACAACAUCUUUGAUCAUCGACAAAAUUGUUAGGUUGAGCCCGGAAGUAUGAUGAUCGUGAUGAUGAAUGGCCGUUUUGGAUGUUCACUGUUUAUUGUAACUUGAGACUUCAUUUUAAUCAUCAUCAUGAUGAUCAUCAUGUUAUUCUCACUGUCAAAAUGAAUGUGUAUCAAAUGGAAGCGUUGAGAAUGGAUGAUGUUGACGUUGAUAAUGAUAAUGAUGCUCAUAAUCAAGAACAAAAAUUAAACAUUGUGUUAACUAAAAUAACCUUAAGGUUGUCUUAAAUACAUAUUUUUAUUCUCCUUUUGAUUCAACAUUCUUCUCAAUCACUUUUUCUUCAAAUUGAACCUAAUAAUGCACGGAAAUUAAGCAUCAUCAUCAUCAUCAUCAUCAUAAUCAUCAUCAUAGUUAUCACAAUUUACAGCAACAUUUUGAUAAUUAUGAUACUUGUUGAUCGAUUUCCUUACGGCAAUCAACUUGAAAAGUUGAUCAUCAAUAUCACGCCAUAGUAAGUAAUACAAUAUCAAAAAACUGCACCCAUAAUUGAUAUCUUUUUAUUAACCCUUCAAGGGUUGACAUAAGCUUGUUUAAUUUAUAAAUUGUUAUUAUGCUUAAUGACAAUCAAUAUUAUCCAAUAAAUGUUAACAUUGAGACAAGAAA